UUAAGCGACUAAGCGUACACGGUGGAUGCCCUGGCAGUCAGAGGCGAUGAAGGACGUGCUAAUCUGCGAAAAGCGUCGGUAAGGUGAUAUGAACCGUUAUAACCGGCGAUGUCCGAAUGGGGAAACCCAGUGCGAUUCGUUGCACUAUCGUUAACUGAAUACAUAGGUUAACGAGGCGAACCGGGGGAACUGAAACAUCUAAGUACCCCGAGGAAAAGAAAUCAACCGAGAUUCCCCCAGUAGCGGCGAGCGAACGGGGAGCAGCCCAGAGUCUGAAUCAGCUUGUGUGUUAGUGGAACGGUCUGGAAAGUCCGACGGUACAGGGUGAUAGUCCCGUACACCAAAAUGCACAGGUUGUGAACUCGAAGAGUAGGGCGGGACACGUGGUAUCCUGUCUGAAUAUGGGGGGACCAUCCUCCAAGGCUAAAUACUCCUGACUGACCGAUAGUGAACCAGUACCGUGAGGGAAAGGCGAAAAGAACCCCGGCGAGGGGAGUGAAAAAGAACCUGAAACCGUGUACGUACAAGCAGUGGGAGCACCUUCGGGUGUGACUGCGUACCUUUUGUAUAAUGGGUCAGCGACUUAUAUUCUGUAGCAAGGUUAACCGUAUAGGGGAGCCGCAGGGAAACCGAGUCUUAACUGGGCGUUAAGUUGCAGGGUAUAGACCCGAAACCCGGUGAUCUAGCCAUGGGCAGGUUGAAGGUUGGGUAACACUAACUGGAGGACCGAACCGACUAAUGUUGAAAAAUUAGCGGAUGACUUGUGGCUGGGGGUGAAAGGCCAAUCAAACCGGGAGAUAGCUGGUUCUCCCCGAAAGCUAUUUAGGUAGCGCCUCGUGAACUCAUCUUCGGGGGUAGAGCACUGUUUCGGCUAGGGGGUCAUCCCGACUUACCAACCCGAUGCAAACUACGAAUACCGAAGAAUGUUAUCACGGGAGACACACGGCGGGUGCUAACGUCCGUCGUGAAGAGGGAAACAACCCAGACCGCCAGCUAAGGUCCCAAAGUCAUGGUUAAGUGGGAAACGAUGUGGGAAGGCACAGACAGCCAGGAUGUUGGCUUAGAAGCAGCCAUCAUUUAAAGAAAGCGUAAUAGCUCACUGGUCGAGUCGGCCUGCGCGGAAGAUGUAACGGGGCUAAACCAUGCACCGAAGCUGCGGCAGCGACACUAUGUGUUGUUGGGUAGGGGAGCGUUCUGUAAGCCUGCGAAGGUGUGCUGUGAGGCAUGCUGGAGGUAUCAGAAGUGCGAAUGCUGACAUAAGUAACGAUAAAGCGGGUGAAAAGCCCGCUCGCCGGAAGACCAAGGGUUCCUGUCCAACGUUAAUCGGGGCAGGGUGAGUCGACCCCUAAGGCGAGGCCGAAAGGCGUAGUCGAUGGGAAACAGGUUAAUAUUCCUGUACUUGGUGUUACUGCGAAGGGGGGACGGAGAAGGCUAUGUUAGCCGGGCGACGGUUGUCCCGGUUUAAGCAUGUAGGCUGGUUAUCCAGGCAAAUCCGGAUAAUCAAGGCUGAGGUGUGAUGACGAGGCACUACGGUGCUGAAGUAACAAAUGCCCUGCUUCCAGGAAAAGCCUCUAAGCAUCAGGUAACAUCAAAUCGUACCCCAAACCGACACAGGUGGUCAGGUAGAGAAUACCAAGGCGCUUGAGAGAACUCGGGUGAAGGAACUAGGCAAAAUGGUGCCGUAACUUCGGGAGAAGGCACGCUGGUGUGUAGGUGAAGUCCCUGCGGAUGGAGCUGAGACCAGUCGAAGAUACCAGCUGGCUGCAACUGUUUAUUAAAAACACAGCACUGUGCAAACACGAAAGUGGACGUAUACGGUGUGACGCCUGCCCGGUGCCGGAAGGUUAAUUGAUGGGGUUAUCCGUAAGGAGAAGCUCUUGAUCGAAGCCCCGGUAAACGGCGGCCGUAACUAUAACGGUCCUAAGGUAGCGAAAUUCCUUGUCGGGUAAGUUCCGACCUGCACGAAUGGCGUAAUGAUGGCCAGGCUGUCUCCACCCGAGACUCAGUGAAAUUGAACUCGCUGUGAAGAUGCAGUGUACCCGCGGCAAGACGGAAAGACCCCGUGAACCUUUACUAUAGCUUGACACUGAACAUUGAGCCUUGAUGUGUAGGAUAGGUGGGAGGCUUUGAAGCGUGGACGCCAGUCUGCGUGGAGCCAACCUUGAAAUACCACCCUUUAAUGUUUGAUGUUCUAACGUUGGCCCCUGACCGGGGUUGCGGACAGUGUCUGGUGGGUAGUUUGACUGGGGCGGUCUCCUCCCAAAGCGUAACGGAGGAGCACGAAGGUUAGCUAAUCCUGGUCGGACAUCAGGAGGUUAGUGCAAUGGCAUAAGCUAGCUUGACUGCGAGCGUGACGGCGCGAGCAGGUGCGAAAGCAGGUCAUAGUGAUCCGGUGGUUCUGAAUGGAAGGGCCAUCGCUCAACGGAUAAAAGGUACUCCGGGGAUAACAGGCUGAUACCGCCCAAGAGUUCAUAUCGACGGCGGUGUUUGGCACCUCGAUGUCGGCUCAUCACAUCCUGGGGCUGAAGUAGGUCCCAAGGGUAUGGCUGUUCGCCAUUUAAAGUGGUACGCGAGCUGGGUUUAGAACGUCGUGAGACAGUUCGGUCCCUAUCUGCCGUGGGCGCUGGAGAAUUGAGGGGGGCUGCUCCUAGUACGAGAGGACCGGAGUGGACGCAUCACUGGUGUUCGGGUUGUCAUGCCAAUGGCACUGCCCGGUAGCUAAAUGCGGAAGAGAUAAGUGCUGAAAGCAUCUAAGCACGAAACUUGCCCCGAGAUGAGUUCUCCCUGAGACUAUAAGUCUCCUGAAGGAACGUUAAAGACGAUGACGUUGAUAGGCCGGGUGUGUAAGCGCAGCGAUGCGUUGAGCUAACCGGUACUAAUGAACCGUGAGGCUUAACCUU
rnacentral:rRNA from 1 species